ensembl:lncRNA
AUUGCUAGCAUAUAGAAAUGCAAUGAAAAGUUUUUUAUAUUGAUCAUAUGUGGCUUUUCCUAACUAAAUGUGAUUCCUAACUUUUGAUUCUUUUGUAUUUUCCAUAUACAAGAUCACACAUCUGCAAAUUUUUUCCCUUUCACUCUGGAUACUUUUUUUCUUUUCUAAGUGCCCUGGCUAGCACCUCUAGCACAAUAUUGAAUAUAAGUGGCAAGAACAGACAUCUUUAUCUUAGUACUACUUUAUAAGGAAGGCAUUUAAUUUUUCACCAUUGAGUGUCAUGCUAACAGUAAGUUCUUCAUAGAUGCUUCAGGUUGAGGAAAUUUUCCUUCUAUUCCUAGUUUGAGUGUUUUUAUCAGGAAAAGAUACUGGAUUUUGUCAGAUGCUUCUGCUUCUGUUGGGGCUCAGUUGGUAAAGAAUCCGUCUGCAAUGCAGGAGACCCUGGUUCAGUUCCUGGGUCAGGAAGAUCCCCUGAAGAAGGGUAGGCUACCCACUCCAGUAUUCUUGGGCUUCCGUGGUGACUCAGCUGGUAAAGAAUCCACCUGCAAUGUAGGAUCUUAAUCUGCUUCUGUUAAGAUGGUUGUGAGUUUUUGUCCUUUAUUCUCUCAGUAGGGCUAUAUUGAUGGAUUUUGGUAUAUUGUACCAACCCUCCAUUCCUGGGGUUCUGCAGGUUCAUGGUACACAAACCUUUUAAUAUGCUACUGAGUUUGGUCUGCUAGAAUUCCAUUUAGAAUAUUGCUGAAUAAAGGGCAUAUCUACCAGUGAUGAGGCUGAAAUGUGUAUUUCCCGUAGGCCACAUGUGGUCACUGUAAGAGACAGAUCAUUGGCCAUCUGACCCUGCACAAGUAGGUUUCCUGUUCUGGAGCCAGACACCCAAUAUCUGAAUACCCUCAGAUAGAAGCUGUGAGAAGAGGAGAAACUGAAAGUGACCAGCCGAGCCAGAGGCUCUCAUUUGGGAUUCCCUGAAGAGUUAACUUUGUGAAAGAAGGCCAUUCACUCCUACCUCUCUGAAGGCUCAGUAUCUUAGGACAGUUGCACCAACUGGAUAAGGUAGGAUAUUUUUCUCUAGAUUUCCUCCCUUCCAAAAGGGCCAGAAACAGCUUUUGAGUGAGAAGGAAGGUAACGUGACGAAGAGCCUAUUUCAGGCCUCCCACCCAGAAGCAGCUCUGAGCAAGAGUUGCAUUUUCAGUUAGGAGAGAGAGUGGCAUUUUUGAUGUUUCACUAAUACCCAGAAAGUAGAUGCUUUGCUUAUUAUCUGAAAGUGACCAGAAAAACUACAUACCUGAGGUUUCAUUCCUGCUUGGAAAAACAAAUCCAGAGCCAGAGCAGACCAGCAAAAAGAAAAAGUUGUGCUCAGCUGAACCAUCGCCCUUAUUCGCUUCCUUCCUGUCACACACGUGCCUUAUUAUUCAGUAAAUCUCAUUACUAAAUUAGUAGAUCUAUAGGAAGGACUUACGUACUCUUUGGAUGGUGCUACGGAAAGAUCUCCAAGGGAGAUCUCAAACCUGCUUCUAGUCCAACUGAACUGUGAAGAUUUUCUGUUUUACUAACAUUUACCAGGUAAAUAGAAUUCAAUACAAAUUGAAUGCUAAUUCAAUACCAAUUGAAAACUGAAUGCUAAGCAGUCCUGAGUGUUCACUGGAAGGACUGAUGUUGAGGCUGAAACUCCAAUACUUUGGCCACAUGAUGCGAAGAACUGGCUCAUUGGAAAAGACCCUGAUGCUGGGAAAGAUUGAGGGCAGGAGGAGAAGAGGAUGACAGAGGAUGAGAUGGUUGGAUGGCAUCACCAAAUCGAUGGACAUGAGUUUGGGUAAACUCCGGCAGUUGGUGAUAGACAGGCUCGGCGUGCUGUGGUCAAUGGGGUCGGAAAGAGUCGGACACGACUGAGCGACUGAACUGAACAUACCAAUUGAAUGCUAAUCAUGUUGCAGGUUUGCUGGAGGUUUCAGGUUGGUUUCAUAACCACUUUGUUCAAUCAAGGAGUCUUUUUAUGGGGAGACUGAAUCUAGUGAACCAGAUAUACAUAGAAACCACUAAGGGUUAUAAAAGUACAUAAAAAUACAAUUUGGACAGAGAAUUCAGAUCCAAAAAUUGUCCAAAUAGAAAGUGAAAGAUUAGUUGACAGGCAGACAAGAAGGUGUUUAGUAUGCCUGAGUGUCGGAUUCAAAGGGAUCAAGAUUGGAUUGGAAUGGAAGGCAGGUCAGAGCAUGAAAAGCCUUGUAGACCAUACCAAGAACUUUGAACUUUGUUUUGCAGAUAAUUGAAAUACAAAGAUAAUUCAUUUUACAUUUUUUUUUGUAUCUUAUAACAUGGAAUUGGAGGAAUGUAAGUGUCAUGCAAUCUUUGUACCUAGGAGAUUUUGCCAAGUCGUUCAGUCAUGUCCAACUCGUUGUGACCUCGGUCCAUGGGAUUCUCCAGGCAAGAACACUGGAGGUGGAUACUUUACUGUCUGAGCCACCAGGGAAGCCCAGUUAGGAGAUUAUUGCCAUAAUUCUAAUUAUAUCCUCAGGUUUAUAAGCCUGAGGAUAGAAGGGUGGGGAUGUUCUAAGACAUGUUUGGGACUGGGACUGGGUGACUGAUUCGAUAUUCCAGGGAGAGAGAGGAGUCAAAAAUAACCCACGUUUCUGAUUUGCAUGACUGGGUUGGUGGUGGUGGUGUGGGAUCUACAGGGAAACAGGUUUUGGAAGGAACAUUAAUACCGUUGGGUCAUGUUUCAGUUGAAGUGUCUGAGAAAUAUACAAGUGGAAUUAAAAGGCACAGAGGCAGUUAAAGAAAUACAAAUUUAAAGAAAAGCCUACAAAGAAGAUUAAAAUGUAUGGUUUUUCAGCAUAGAUGUACCCUUAGGGAAAGGUCAUAAAGGGAGGAAGAAAGAACAUGGACAGAGUCCCUGGAAAAUGUUAGCAUUUCAGAGUUAAACAAGAAAAGCAGUUCCCUUAGUUGUUCAUUUUUAUCUGUGCUUCACUAGAAACCAAGCCUGAUGAGGGCAGGAAGUUUGUCUUGCUCAUGGCUGUGCCCCUAGUACCUACAGCAGAAUGUAAACAAGGUUCAUUAAGCUGGACAACAAACCAGGGUGUCUCAGAAAAUCCUUCCCAUUCUCUUCCCUGCUAUCCUUUGCACCUUGUUGACACCCUCCCCCACUGUAAUUCUUAACACAGUUUUUAAGGGCCCACAUUGUAUGUGUGUUCAUUUACUGUCAUCUCAGGAAGAUAUAUCAGCUGAGUGAAAAUAUUUCCAAACUGUUGAGAUGUGAUAACUUGCAAAUCAAUGCUUAGCACUGCUGGGUUUGGUCCCCUUACCAGUGAAUCAAGAAGUUCACAGAAAGUGAGAUCAGAUCUGUUUCCUGAGGCAACUGAGAAGGCAGAUUUGCCCUGAAAAUAAUCGCCAAGGGCAGGAAAUAACCUCCAAUGCUUCAAGCUGAGACAGCAGGAGAAUCCCAGCUCAUCGUAACUACAAGUGUAUUCUUGGGCCUGUCAAGUGGGAAGUUCGCCCAUUACCUAAAAAUGCAUUUCAGAAUUGUCCCUGUGUGCUUGCAUCUUGUACCCAAACCCGAAGAAAAUACCAUGUGCCUUAAAUAUGUACUUUUAAUAGGAUUGAAGUAUUUUUCAAAUUUAAACUCUGGUCUCCAAAAUAAUCAUACUUCCAAAACACUUUCCACAGGGUAUUAGUCUGCUUACUUCAUUAUUGCCUAACUCAUUCCUCAAAUUCUAUUCCAUGAUAGUAGAAGUGUAUCUGUUUUCCUCAUCCUGGUGUUCAGAACGUAUUUUUCAAAUGAAUGUAUGAAUGAAAUUAUGCUUAUAAAACCAAAGAGCCUGAUUUAUCAAUUGGACUUCCAGAUCUCCACAGAAGCUACCAGUAAAAGUAGUGUAACAGCUGUUCCUGCAUGUGAAGAGCUUUUCUGGCAUUCAGAUACUCCUCACACCUUCCCACUGUUCAGUAACAGUACCACCUUACACUGCUCUUAUGAAUGGAACUAGUUUUUGAAAACAAUUGAGGGAAACCAGUUUGCCAUGUAUUCCUAAGAAGGUGUAAGAGCAUUACUGGCAGAAAGUUUCCCAGCAGCAUGUUCCCCCUAGAUACUGCUCCUGGACGCAGACCUGAAGGCUCGCGAGGGGCGCUCCGGACGCGGCGCGGCCCCCUUGCCCUUCCUCUGCGCGCGCGUCUUCGUGUCUCCGCGUGUAGGGCUGCAGGGCGAGGCGUGACCCAGGGUCCACGUUCUUACUGUUAAAUCCUGCCUUGGUUGUCACAGUUUUAUAUGAGAGUUGAAGCAUUUUCUCCGUGAGUUCCAGAGCAGUCUUGAAGUCAGGGGUAAGAGUUUUCUUGGUAAGUAUUAAGUAGAAGUUGCUGAAUGGCAGAGGGGUGGAA